GACGAACGCUGGCGGCGUGCCUAAUACAUGCAAGUCGAACGCAGUGGGGACGGGUGAGUAACACGUGGGUAACCUCCCAUCAGAGGGGAUAACACUUGGAAACAGGUGCUAAACCGAUACUGAUGGAUGGACCCGCGGUGCAUUAGCUAGUUGGUGAGGUAACGGCUCACCAAGGCCACGAUGCAUAGCCGACAGGAGAGGGUGGUGGACCAGACUGGGACUGAGACACGGCCAAGACUCCUACGGGAGGGAGCAGUGGGGAAUCUACGGCAAUGGACAAAAGUCUGACCGGGAAACGCCGCGUGAGUGAAGAAGGUUUUAGGAUCGUAAACCUCUGUUGUUAGAGAAGGGGUAUCUAACCAGAAAGCCACGGCUAACUACGUGCCAGCAGCCGCGGUAAUGC
rnacentral:rRNA from 1 species